AGGGCACCACCAGGAGUGGAGCCUGCGGCUUAAUUUGACUCAACACGGGAAAUCUCACCAGGCCCGGACACUGGAAGGAUUGACAGAUUGAGAGCUCUUUCUCGAUUCGGUGGGUGGUGGUGCAUGGCCGUUCUUAGUUGGUGGAGUGAUUUGUCUGGUUAAUUCCGAUAACGAACGAGACUCUGUCCUGCUAAAUAGUUCCCGCGUCCUUUGUUGCGCGGGAAAUUCUUCUUAGAGGGACUGGCGGCGUCUAGCCGCACGAGAUUGAGCAAUAACUGGUCUGUGAUGCCCUUAGAUGUUCUGGGCCGCACGCGCGCUACACUGAAGGGAUCAGCGUGUCUUCCCUUCCCGAGAGGGACGGGUAACCCGCUGAACCCCCUUCGUGGUAGGGAUCGGGGCUUGCAAUUAUUCCCCGUGAACCAGGAAUUCCCAGUAAGCGCAAGUCAUAAGCUUGCGUUGAUUACGUCCCUGCCCUUUGUACACACCGCCCGUCGCUACUACCGAUUGAACGUUUUAGUG
rnacentral:rRNA from 1 species